ensembl:lncRNA
AGAACGGCUGCAGAGAACAACAGAUAUGGACGAGUGGAUUUCUUUAUUAUGCCGCUGAACAUUUGCAGUUGCACAGAUGAGUCCGACCCUGCGGCGGUGGUGCAGAAUCGGCUGCUCAGCUCCCCUGUAACCAGUUUACGGAUCAAACCUAGACCCUUCAUCCUGCUCGACCACCUGUUACUUCCACCCUGUUUCAAUCACUCCGGCAGACGCUCAGCUGCAGCUAUCGAACUGCAUAUCGCUCAUCAAUAACCCCCCACAGAAGGGAAGAUAUGAAAGCUGGGAGCGCUUAAGAAGGAGCACACGGUAAACCCACCUUUCAUGAGGAGGCUGAGAUCGCUUUUGAUGGCUCUCUGAGAUGCCUCAGUCGAGUCGCAUCAAGAGCCAUUUUAGCACAAAGGAACAAAAGCCGCAGCG